rnacentral:lncRNA from 1 species
AUUUGCCUCAUUCAUGAUGAAAUACUAGACCUGAGAAGCAGCAGCCGAUCGUCUUACGCUGAGCCAACAAGGCAUGGAAGCCUGAGGCAAGGCUCUGAGAUGAUGAGGUUUUGGCAAAAGACAACAGCUUCCCACCUAGACUGUACCCUCCAGCAGGGGAAACCAUGCAGGACCUGUUUUAAAAACCCCAGUAUCUACAGCGCUGAGCGCAACACCUGCACGUAAGUAUUUUUUUUCACUGACACUGAGCUAAGUGCCCCUUUGGAUUCUCACAUUAAUCAGAAGCCCUGCCCUUUAUAGUUACUUCUGGCUAUGACAAUAUAAAUAUGCACUCCUUAACUACACCACAUUUUAUUUUUUUAAUACAGAGAGUUUCUUUUGUUCAGUCACUAAGUCAUGUCCGACUCUUUGUGACCCCAUGAACUGUAGCAUGCCAGGCUUCCCUGUCCUUCACCAUCUCCCAGAGUUUGCUCAAACUCAUGUCCUAUUUAUUUAUUUGGCUGCUUUGUAUAUGAGAUCUUAGUUCCUCAACCAGGGAUUGAAGCCAUUCCCCCUUAAGUGGAAACAUAGUGUCUUAACCACUGAACUGCCCAGGAAGCCCCAUACAACAUAUUUUUAAAAUAUCCUACUUCUUGCCAGGGAUAUGGGCAGUAUUUAACAGUUUCACACCCAUUUUUAUGUGUGUGUGUGGUUUUUUUUUUUUUUUUUUGCUUUAUACUGUAAUAUUAUCGUGAAAAACAAUUAGGCAUGUAUCUACAAAGCCAUGCAUUUUAACUGGGGGAUGGAGAAGGUAGGAAGAAGAAGAGGCAGGAAAAUCAAUGUCUUGCUCUGCUUAAAUAUCUAAAUGACUUUUGGCCUUGCAUGAGUUAUUUGUAAAGACAUAAAGGAUGGAUAUAUUUUCACCAACAGUACAUUCUUUGGUGAAAGACAGCCUGCCCCUAUUUAUAAAGGCUUGAUAGUAUCCUAUGUUUUAAGAGCUGAAGAUUCCUUUUCUUCUUGUCUUCCUUGUUUAUAGCACUUAACUUGGUAGAAUGUUGCAGAAAGAACAUGGGCUCUGAAAUUAGAAGACCUGGGUUUGAACCCCAACCUCUCAGUUUUUUUUUUUUUUUUAAUCUAUCUGGCCUUUGUCUCUAAGCUUAUUGUCUUCUUAUAAUUAUACUUCUUCACCUCCAAAUGUAGCUGAAGAUGAACUGUGAACUGGGAAGCACAAUAUCCAACUAGUAAAGAAUCCUCAUCACAUCCUUUAUAAAUUCAGUACCAACCCUUUGACUCUGGAUACUGUAAGGAUCUACUAGAAUUACAUUUUUCAGCAAUGACCUCUGGCCACUUACGUCUAACAUAAUAAAUGCAAGGACUUUGCCA